rnacentral:lncRNA from 1 species
UUAACAUAACAUAGUACGGCGGUGAAUCAUUCACCACUUUUGGAAGUCGGUGAAUUAUUCACCACCUUUAUAAGAAGGGAUGAUUGCCUAUAUACCCCUCAUGCGUCUGGAAAUAUCCGAUUUACCCCUACUUUUUUUUUUCUUUCUAAAAUGUCCCUCAUAUGUUCCACUGUUAUUCCAAAAUACCCCCGCAGUUAUCCCCUGUUAGCUUAACUCGGGUUAAAGCUGAGUUAAGUGUAUACUAGAGUUAAAACCUAAAUAAAAUACCUAUUUUGCCCCUACCUUAUUAUACUAAUCCCUUAAAUUAUCCCACCACCCCUCUGACCGUUCUCAUCGUCCUCCUCCUCCGCCGCUCUCGUCGUCCUCCUCCCUCUCCUCCGCCGUCUUGGCCGGCGCCGAGAACCUAUGGAUUUGUUGAAUCGUCGUCGUCAUCCUCUUCCUCCUCCUCCUUCGACCUCUCCUUUCUCAACUCCCACGCCCACGCCCACCCCGACGGCGCCCGCACGCUCCGCCUGCACCUGCCCAAGGCCGAGGUCGCCCGCCUCAUGCACGAGAGCACUGACGCCGCCGACGCCGCCCGCAAGAUCAUGGACCUCUGCGUCACCGCAACCAGCACCCCUCCCCCACCACACCCGACCGCGCCACGCCCACGCCCUUGCGGACGUCGGAGCGCGGCACGCUCUCGCCCUCGCGGACGCCCGACCGUGGCGCGCCCUCACCCUUGCGAACGCCGGAGCGCGGCAACCCCACCGGACCGGAUAAGAGGGAUUAUAUAUAUAUAAAUAAAUAAAUAUAUAUAUAUAUAAUUUUAUUUAUAAAUAUAUAUUUAUAUAGUAUUUUAUUUAUAUAUAGAAAUAUUAUUAUAUAAUAUUUUAUUUAUAAAUUUGUAAUUAUUUAUUAAUAUUUUUAAAUAUAUAACUCUUAUAUAUUAUUAUUAAUAUAUAUUUAUUAUAAUUUUAAAUAUAUUUAAUAUAUAUAUAAAUUAUAAUAAUAAUAUAUAUAUAGUAUAUUAAUUAUUAUAUAUUUAUUAUAUAACCGAAUUUUUGAUUCCGAAUUUUUAAUUGGUGAACGUAUAAUACCCGUAUAAAUCACGUAUCUGAAUAAUUGCUGAAUCCAUUUUUUAGCCGUAUUUUUCAACGAAUUUAAAAAUUAAAAGACAAAUUUUAUCCGAAUUAUAUCCGUACCGAAUUUUUGCCGAAUCCGAAUUAACUAACUAUGC